GCCCGCCUAGCUCAAUCGGAUAGAGCGUCAGACUUUUACAGUUAGGGCAAACUAUUGAAAUCUGAAGGCUGCGAGUUCGACCCUCGCGGUGGGCU